rnacentral:lncRNA from 1 species
UCUCUCUCUUAAUUUUCGGUUCAUACCCCCCCUCUCUCCACAACUGAAUUCCAUCACUACCAUACAUCAAACCUCCAUUUCUUCUCCAUCAAGCUCACAUUCAAGUGGUAAAGAUCCUCCAUAGAAGUGAGAAGUUGGAGUGCUCUCAAGAAGCCUUGUUCAAGCUUUUCUCACCAUCAUUCUUUAUCAUCUCAUCCUAAGAUUACAACCCUAGCCUUGUGCUAGUAUCGAGAAAAUGAUUUUCUAUAAAAUAUGGGUAGUCGUGUUUGCUGAGGAGAUUUGGGUUACGAGUACCGAAGACGCAAUACUGUGA